UACGGAGGGGGCUAGCGUUGUUCGGAAUCAUUGGGCGUAAAGCGCGUGUAGGCGGCUUGGCAAGUCAGUUGUGAAAGCCCGGGGCCCAACCCCGGAACUGCAUCUGAAACUGCCUGGCUAGAGUCCCGGAGAGGAAGGCAGAAUUCCCGGUGUAGGGGUGAAAUCCGUAGAUAUCGGGAGGAAUACCAGCGGCGAAGGCGGCCUUCUGGACGGUGACUGACGCUGAGACGCGAAAGCGUGGGGAGCAAACAGG
rnacentral:rRNA from 1 species